UACGGAGGGGGCUAGCGUUGUUCGGAAUUACUGGGCGUAAAGCGCGCGUAGGCGGGAUGUUAAGUCGAGGGUGAAAUCCCGGGGCUCAACCCCGGAACUGCCUUCGAUACUGGCAGCCUAGAGGACGGUAGAGGUGAGUGGAAUGCCGAGUGUAGAGGUGAAAUUCGUAGAUAUUCGGCGGAACACCCGUGGCGAAGGCGGCUCACUGGCCCGAUACUGACGCUGAGGUGCGAAAGCGUGGGGAGCAAACAGG
rnacentral:rRNA from 1 species